AUUGAACGCUGGCGGCAUGCCUUACACAUGCAAGUCGAACGGUAACAGGCCGCAAGGUGCUGACGAGUGGCGAACGGGUGAGUAAUGCAUCGGAACGUGCCCAGUAGUGGGGGAUAGCCCGGCGAAAGCCGGAUUAAUACCGCAUACGACCUGAGGGUGAAAGGGGGGGAUCGCAAGACCUCUCGCUAUUGGAGCGGCCGAUGUCAGAUUAGCUAGUUGGUGGGGUAAAGGCCUACCAAGGCAACGAUCUGUAGUUGGUCUGAGAGGACGACCAGACAAACUGGGACAGAGACACGGCCCAGACUCCUACGGGAGGCAGCAGUGGGGAAUUUUGGACAAUGGGCGCAAGCCUGAUCCAGCAAUGCCGCGUGCAGGAAGAAGGCCUUCGGGUUGUAAACUGCUUUUGUCAGGGAAGAAAUCUUCUGGGUUAAUACCUCGGGAGGAUGACGGUACCUGAAGAAUAAGCACCGGCUAACUACGUGCCAGCAGCCGCCGUAACAC
rnacentral:rRNA from 1 species